UUUUUUUUUUUUUUUUUGUAUAGCGCAAAGAACGACACUCAAUAUCCUUUGAUAAACCACAAAGGAAAAGAACAUGAAAAAGAAUUCAUGUAUGUAUAACUGAAUCACGCAGCACAUCAGAAGCUGUUACAACCACACAAACCAGCUCCCUGCCCUGGCACAGCACCUCCAGAGGCACACAGUGUCCCCAGGUCAUCCCAUCUUGUAUCCAGCCGGGAGUGAGUUUCCACUGUUAUUUCUUCUCCCUCAUUGCCUUUUAUACUCUCUUCCAAUUUACACUCAUCUUGCCCUGCCUUUCAAGUGGGUCACAUACUUUCCCGCCUUAGGACCUUUGCACCAAUGAUUCCCUUCCCUUGCAAACUCCUUUCUGGAAACACAAGGCAAGCUCCCUUUGGUAUAUGGACAUGAAAUCAUAUGUCACGUUCUUCGAACUAGUUCUGGCAUCUAUUCCAAGGUUGGAUCACUCUUGAUCAUGUCACCCUGCCUUAGUUUCUUGUACAUUCAUUUGUUUGUUUCCUUAUUUGCUGUUGGUGUUCUUUGUCUCUUUCUCUAAUAUAAAGCCUAGGAGGUCAACGACCUUUUUUCUCUUAUUUGUCUAGGACACUGAUGGGGGCUCAAAAAUGUAAUUCUGAUUGAAUGUUUGGGAGCAGUUAACACACAUACAUUUCAAAUUACCCAGAAAAGAUGUGAAGGAGGGACAAAAGAAAGCAUAUGGACUUGGAUACAGAUGAUCUGAAUUUAAAUCUGGGUUCUACCACUCAGAGCAUUGAUGAGAAACUGUGGGGGGAUUUCUAUGCUUCAUGCCUCAGCACUUCUGUCUAUUAACUGAGAUCACAAUCUUUCAUAUUUUAUAGGUUUCUGAGAGGAUUACAUUGAAGAAUGCAUGUAAAAUGCCCAGCAAAAUCAUAGGACUAGGCAGUUGUACCCUAGCAAUAGUAGCCGUUAUUUAAUUUAGAACAAAAUGAAUAGUGUUAUUAGGGUAAGAAGCUGAAUAAUUUACAAAGAAACCUAAGAAUACUCUCUAUAUAUUUCAAUGUACUUGACAGUCAACUCCAUCCAGGAUUUGUGUAUUUUACUCAACAUUAUAGAAUUGUAGUAUCAGAUACAGAAUAGAUGCUCAGUUGUUAUGAAUGAAUGAAUGAAUGAAUGAGUAGUAUAACAGAGUGAUAAACAGUGUAAUAAAAUGGAAAGGAGCUUUGUAAUUCAAACCAAAUUUAAAAAUUAUAUUUAUAAUGGAUAAGCAAUGAAGUCCUACCUAACAGAGGGAAAUGUAUCCAGUAUCUUAGGAUAGACCAUGAUGGAAAAUAAUAUAAGAAUUAUUAUAUAUAUACACACACACAUUCUCUUUAUAUAUACAUAUACAAACACACACACACACACAAAGUGGCUGGGUCACUUUGCUGUACAUCAGAAAUUGGCACCACAUUGUGAAUCAACUAUACUUUAAUAAAAAUUUAAAAAUAAAACAAACAAAUAAACAAAAAAUGUUUCUUGAGCACUAACUCUGUGCUGGUCAUGGUUCUUGGUAACGGAGACAGCAAUGAGGAAAACAAGCAUGUCUUCAUGAAGCUCCCAUUUGUGACGUGCCCAUAUUUGUUUUUCCUUUCAAAGAUAUUAGCUCUUGAUUUUAGUUGCUAUAAAAUUGUUGUAAACUCGAGUCUGCAGUAGAGAAUCAGAAGGAAUAUAACCUAACUUCAAGUAAGGCAAGUCAAGUGUGUCUGAAAAGGGCACCAGUUAUUUCUUGAAGUCUCUUCCUUAUAAUACUUUCCCCAUGAAAUUUUAGUGAAAUUUUUUUUUUAAAGUCAAAUAAGGAGUUCCCAUCGUGGCUCAGUGGAAACAAAACUGACUAGUAUCCACGAGGAUGCAGGUUAGAUCCCUGGCCCUGCCCAGUGGGUUAAGGAUCUGGUGCUGCCAUGAGCUGUGGUAUAGGUUGCAGAUGUGGCUCGGAUCUGGCCUUGCUGUGGCUGUGGUGUAGGCCGACGGCUACAGUUUUGAUUGGACCCCUAGCCUGGAAACUUCCAUAUGCCGAGGGUGCAGCCUUAAAGAAAAAGAAAAAGUCAAAUAAGUUUAGGAAAGACAAAGAUAAAUAAUAUAUUUGCUACCAGAUUGAUCAGAGCUGCUAGGAUGGCACUGUGCACUCUGAGCCUUCACGUCACAAUAUCCCCAGGGUGUUCUGGGCUGAAUUAUGUCCUGCCCCUAAUCCAUACAUUGGAGUCCUAAUCUCCAGGUCCCCAGAAUGUGACUAUAUUUGGAGACAGGCUCUUUCUAGAGGCGAUUAAAUUAAAACAAGGUCAUAGGGAUGAGUUCUAAUCCAAUUUUACUGGCGUCCUUAUAAGAAGAGUAGACUGGGACACAGACUCACACAGAUAAGACCACAUGAGGACAACACAGGGAAAUGGCCACUGGUAAACCAAGGGGAGACACAACAGAAGAAAGCAACCCACUCCUUGACCUCAAACUUCUGGCCUCUGGAACUCUGAGAACACGUAUUUCUCUUGUUGAAGCAGCUCAGUCUGUACUGUUUGGGUACGCAGCCUUAGGAACUAGAGUAUCUGUCCGUUUUGAAGAACUUACCAAAGGCAGAUACAGGUCUAUGUGUGGUCAUUAGUUAGGAGCUCAAAACAGCUCAGGAAGAUUCAGGGGCAGGUGACUAAUUGAGAGGAAGUUCCCUGAAUGAUAGCAGAAGUGACUCUGUAGUCACUAAUGGUAAAAAGCCAACAACGAGCAGAAUAUAAAGACAUAUUCAGGGGUGGACAUAAAAUUCCACAUAAAAUGCAUGCAUGCACAGGGGCCUUGCUUACUUACUCUGAGGACAAGGGUUUUAAAUUAAGGAAAGAAGACCAUACCCAGCUGAAGCGGUGCCAUGGAUCCUGAGAUACCCAAAGAUGGUGCUACACCAUGAUCCAACAAGUGGCUUUCUCUCUUUAGCUGCUGAGAUUGAGAUGAAGGACUGAUGGAAAUUGGGGGGAAAAAUGGGGACUUACAAGAUCAGUCUUUAUUUGGUAACACAGCACUUAAUAUGUUAUGAUAUGCUCUGCCCUGUUAAUUGCCUUUUAUUUUCAUAAUCUCUUGAGACGGAACUGCCAGCAGAAUUCUGAGAAGGUAUGCAUGCAUGCAUGGUAUGAAAGGGGAUGAGUAAUGCAUCAUCAGAAGCUACAUCCCCUGAAAAUAAUUCAUGGGAGAAUUUGCAGAAAGGAGCACCAAUACUGGUAUAACUUAAAAAAAAAAUAUAUGCACAGGAAUUCCCAUUGUGGUGCAGCAGAAAUGAAACUGAAACUGACUAGUAUCUAUGAGGUUGUGGGUUUGAUCCCUGGCCUUGCUCAGUGAGUUAAGGAUCUGACAUUGCUGUGAGCUACGGUGUAGUUUGCAGGGGUGGCUUGGAUGUGGCGUUGCUACGACUGUGGCUGUGGCUGGCAACUGUAGCUCUGAUUCGACCCCUAGCCUGGGAAUUUCCAUAUGCUAUGGGUGCAGCCC
rnacentral:lncRNA from 1 species